AUUGAACGCUGGCGGCAGGCCUAACACAUGCAAGUCGAGCGAGACCUUCGGGUCUAGCGGCGGACGGGUGAGUAACGCGUGGGAAUAUGCCCUUCGGUUCGGAAUAGCCCCGGGAAACUGGGAGUAAUACCGGAUACGGUCUACGGACGAAAGAUUUAUCGCCGAAGGAUUAGCCCGCGUUGGAUUAGGUAGUUGGUGGGGUAAUGGCCUACCAAGCCGACGAUCCAUAGCUGGUUUGAGAGGAUGAUCAGCCACACUGGGACUGAGACACGGCCCAGACUCCUACGGGAGGCAGCAGUGGGGAAUCUUAGACAAUGGGGGAAACCCUGAUCUAGCCAUGCCGCGUGAGCGAUGAAGGCCUUAGGGUUGUAAAGCUCUUUCAGCGGGGAAGAUAAUGACUGUACCCGCAGAAGAAGCCCCGGCUAACUCCGUG
rnacentral:rRNA from 1 species